CGAACAGUUUUGGAUGAAGAAUAGACAGUCUUUCUGAUUUGAUUAAUACUUCUAUUGAUAACGUCCAAGUUCAAUAAGUUUUUCUAGAUUGCAGCCGCAGGAAUAAAGAUAAAAUUUUUGAGUUUGUUUUGCUUUGCUUUGCUUUGCUUAAUGGAGUUCUCAGGUUUAUUCAAAGAACCUGUUUUGCUUUGAUUUGCUUUGAUUUGUUUUGAAUGUAUUAUGAUGCUCUGUGUUUUUCUCAAACUAAUUGAGAAACAAAAGCAGAAUAAAUCAAUCUAAGUUAGUGUCAAUGGCUCUUUUAUUUUACGAUAUGAUUAUGGUUUUUUUUUGGACAUGUUCUUUGUGUAGAGUUGCAGAAUGGGCUUGAGGUGAAUUGUUUUAGAACCCAACAACUUAAUUAGGUUACAAAAGAAGGAGAGAAGAAGAUACGGAGACACUUCUAACUCACGCAGCGGUGAUAAGUGAGAAAGAUAUAGAGGUAGAGAAGAGAUCGAGCUUAUUGAGAGAGUAGAGAAGAGAUCGAGCUUGUUGUUUUUUUUUCUUUUCUCUUGUUCUUCAUUUAUUCUUCUUUCUUUAUGCUUAUGGCUUGAAUUAGUGUUUGGUUUAAUUAACUAUGGCGAAGAAUGUGGAAGUCGUUCCCGGAGAAGGAUUUGGGACAAGAGACUAUUAAUAUCUUCGGCCAGCUAAUUGUAAGCAAUAAAGGGAGAUGUAGAUUUCCUCCUCAAAGGAGUUGGAGACCAAGCUGUUGCUAAAGAAGUUAAACAAAUUCUUGAAAUGGCAAGACGUGCAGCAUCAAGAAGAGAAAAGUUCUGCACACAGAUUUUCUCACACCACCUAUUGUUAAAGAAUCAGUUUCAGUAUUGAGUAAAUUUGCUGAUGUUAAGAUAGUUUCUCAAGGAGGUUCCCCUGAGGCUGAACGGUGUAGGAUCUCGAUUGGACAUCCUGAUGUAUUAACCAAUGAUCCAGAUAUAGUUGCAGCUUUGAGGACUAAUACCUUUAAGACUGUGGAAGCCUCGUUGAGAAUUGAUGUAGCAGCAGCUAGUGCUGGUUUCAAGAUUUCGCGGUCAAAGCUAGUUGAUCUGAUUAGUAGUAAAGACGUUCGGGUUAAUUGGGCAACCAUUACUAAGAACGGAACCUUAGUGAAGACUGGUGAUGUUGG